AUGUCUCUGACCUUGUGCACAUGGACUUGGAUAUGUGUGUGUGCGUGCAGGUGUGCGUAUGUCCGAAACACACGUGGACAUCGUUCAAAGACGGACCGACGCAGAGGGUGUGCUGUUGCGUUCGGACACACGAGGAGACACAAACUCUCUCUUCUCACCAUCCUCCCUUUUUUAGGUCUCGUUUAUCGAACAUCUGGCCUCAGAAAGGUCCAUCUUCUAUCUUUCACAUCGAGCAGUUCUUUGUGCACUUGCUUUCACCAUAAACGCUGGGACCAGUAUUCUGUACGCAGACACAAGCGGGGGGAAGAUGGAGGAAAUGAGGAAAAGAAAACAAACAAGACAUCUGUCCGUCGCUCUCAUUGUUUGCUAUGUCCAGUUUCUCACAGGUCGCUAUGCCCCUUUAUGCAGCAGAUGGGAGACACCGAGAGAGAGAGGAAGGAAGAAAAACAAGAAAUGAAGACAGGAGGGAAGAUUUAUAUCAGAACCCCACUGUUAGGAUUCUCCAUCAUUGCCACAGUGACAGGUUACCUGGCAACGGGAUACACAAUGGUGCGGUAACCGUGACGACAGUGCAGUGGUCUGUCUGGCCAAAGACAAAGGUUUGAGAUGGACAGGAGAGCCUCAGACGGCAGAGAAAAGGUGAAGUGUGUGUGUGUGUGUUUGAGAGAGAGAGAGAGAGAAUCAGUCUAUUUACUUUUUUUAAACUCUCAAUAUAUCCAUUCAUGAGACUGAUAUUAUUAUUGACACAAACACACAUGGACGGACAGAGUCUCCCUCUCUUUUUAAUUCUCUCUCUCACACACACUCUGACACAGUGUAGUUUCAGUUCAAUAGCGCUUUAUUGGCAUAACUGUCAAAAUGCAAAAUGCCAUAGAAAGGCAGAGUGUAAUUAAUGAAGGUGCACGCAAACACACAGUGUGUUUAAUGUACGCUGACAGGUGGAUCUAUUGCUCUUGUCAGUGAGGUUCUCUGUAGACAUACAGACUUGAUUAAAGGGCUUGUGUUUUAUGUGAGAGUCAGUGUUGUAGUACAAAACAAACCGAGAACAAACACAGCUAUAUACACACAGACAUCUGUGUUUUAUACAUGUAAUAUGAGCAAAUUGUGUGUUUGUGUGUGUAAGCCUAUGUGUGCCAGUGAACACUCACAUAAUGGUUUUUAUGCAGGGAUAUACCAGACAAAACUAAAAGCCACAGGCCAGGAGGUUUUACAGUAUAGUGUCAAGUUCUCACACACACACACACACACACACACACACACACACACACACACACAUUUUUGCAUCAUUUUGUUAAUAUCGCUAUUGUUUCUCCUGAACACCAAAGCAAUUAAUUCAAGCAAAUGGAGACUUUUAUGUCUCAAGCUUUUGUAAGAAAAAAGACCCAGGAAAUUUCACGUGUAGCUUCUCUAGUUUCAAAAGAAAUUUCAACAGAGUUUCAGAUUGUGCUCAGAUUUGCCAAGAUGCUUAAUGCUACAAUCAAAAGUCAGAGAUAUUAAUAUGACCCCCCCCCAACUAAUAUGAGGUUCUGAUCUCAGUUGGUUUAAAGUAGUCUUAGCUGGUUUAGGAUGGUCUCCUAGCCCGGCCAAGCUGGUGUUUAGCUGGGCAGUCAGUGGGUCUUCCAGCUGAAAAGUGCCUGACUCCCCUCUAAAACCAGCCAACAGACCAGCAAACCAGCUUAGACUGGUUUAAGAAUUUUUUUUUUGUUUUGUUUUCAGCAGUGCCACUAAAUGCGAGGCUUAAAUUAUGUAAUCUAUGUGUAAAUGUGCAUGUAUUUCUUUGCUGAAUGUGUUUAAUCUAGUAUAAAAGGUUAAAGUGUGUUUGUGCAUAUCAUACACCGCUCACACACGUCUUUGAGUGAAUUAGACUUCACCUUCAUCCUGGUACUUAUUAUCAAAGUGCGAGAGACUGAAGCGGGUCAUGACCUGAGACAAAAAGGAAAUUAAAAAACUGAGGUACAUAUGAAGAAAGAUGAAAGGGAGAACAUGCAGAAAGAUGAUUAAUUUCCAUUUCUCUCACUCUAAUAUUCUUGUUCUCCGACUCGCUUUAUUCUGUUUCAAAGGCUGGUAGCAAAAGAGAGAGACUGAACGAAGCCUCUCCUCCUCUAAUAAACACGCAGUGCUCCAAGCCGUUUCCACGACAACAUGUCUCACACAUGUGGAGUGAUGGAGGGUGGAGGGAGAGAUGAAGAAGGGGAAAUGGAGGGGUGAAGGAAACAGCCAGUUCUCUUCUGUGCUUCACUGCUUGUUUGCGUGCGCGUCUCUCUGAGAUGUGUGUUUGUAUAGUGUCCUCACUCUGUUUGUCUCAGUGUCAAUCCACACAUGACAUUUAGGUUCUCAAAUUUUCAUCAGAACUCACUCCGUCUGUAAACAUCCUGGGCUGGUCUCAUUUCUUUCCAACCACAACAGUUUCCAUGCAUUAUUUCUUCAUAAACACCUAUAUGAAUGUGAAUGUGUUUUUUGUUCACUUUCCUUGCAAAGACAGCUCAGAUUUUUGGUUUUUUUUUCAUUAGGGCUCAAGCCUGGAGGGCGAGAGCCCUAUUGUUUUCCUUAGGAUUAUUUGUUAUUAUUAGGGCCCGAGCCAAUGGGCGCAGGGCCCUAUUGUUUUUCUAAGGAUUAUUAUUAUUAUUAUUAUAACCUUCCGGGGGUUUUUGGAGGCCUUAACAUACUCAAAAAAACUCUGUGAAAAAUUGGCACACACAUUGGAACCUGCGGCCAUCAGGACGCCGCAGAGUCUGGGACCCGGGCGUGGCACAGGGGCUCUACGGCGCCCCCUGGAACACAGUCAGAAAUCUUGAACCAUAGCUCACACAUACUUGCAUGUAUUUAUAUGAAACUCUGUACACUUAUAGAUCUCAUUGAGCCGAACAACUUUCGCGCUCUAUGUCAUAGGCUCCGCCCAACAGGAAGUGAGCUAUUCAGGGCUGUUUAAAAAAAGCAUGCUCUGGAAUUUGAAAUACUCCUCUGAGGUUUUCCACCCGUUCUCCACGAAACUCGGUGAACAUGAUCUCAAGACAUUGGGGAUGAAAAAUUGCCAGGGGAUUUUUUUGAUAUCUCGAACGGUUUGUCCGUGGCGAGGCGUUGAAAUUAGGGCAAAAAAUGAGAAACAGGAAAUGUCUAAUAACAUCCACAUACAUCGCCUGAUUUAGAUCAAACUUCAUCGGAUUGUUCGAUGUAUGAUGCCGAUCGCAUAUAUGUGACUAUUAGGAGUCAAAGUUAUAGCGCCACCAACUGGCAGCAGGAAGUGUGUCAUUUUCAAAAUGCUUUGAAUUCAGCAUCUUAUUUUCACUCGAUUUGCUUCAAACUUCAUCAGAAUAAUGACAAAACACGGCCGAUGUAAAUCUGUUGUGGGGAUAUUGAUAUCUAAUAUAGUGUUGCCGUGGCAACGUGUCAAUCUUGAAUAUUCUAUUCUGGUGAUUUUGAGGCAGAUAAAAAUGCUCAGAAUUACAUGAAACUCAAAAACACAUAUCAGUCUAAUGAUAGCUAGACAAUGGCAGAAAAAGCACAUGAAAGGGCGUGGAGGAGGCACUCUAUAGCGCCACCUUUUGUCAAAAGUCGGGGGGUUAGUUUUAGCUACAGACACCAAACUCGGUACAUAUAUUGUUCUUAUCAAGACGGACAACUUUCUAAUUUACAGUCAUCAGCUACGACCAACAGGAAGUCGGCUAUUUUGGUUUAAAUGUGGAUUUUUUUGGAAAAAAAUAUUGCUGUGAAUUAAUGCAUACUACUCAGAGGAGAAAUUACACUAUACACACCAAACUUUUGUCUACAUGAUGCCAAAACAUUGAGGAACCUAAAUUGCGAAUGGAUUUUGGAUAGCUUGAACGGUUUUGCCGUGGUGAUUUUUUUUGAAAUAAGUGUAAAAAAAGGGAAACAUUACUUGUCUUGUAUUUUUUUUAAAUUGCAGCUUGCAAACACUUCAAAAACCAUUUUUUU
ensembl:lncRNA